UAGGGAAUCUUCGGCAAUGGGGGCAACCCUGACCGAGCAACGCCGCGUGAGUGAAGAAGGUUUUCGGAUCGUAAAGCUCUGUUGUAAGAGAAGAACGUGUGUGAGAGUGGAAAGUUCACACAGUGACGGUAACUUACCAGAAAGGGACGGCUAACUACGUGCCAGCAGCCGCGGUAAUACGUAGGUCCCGAGCGUUGUCCGGAUUUAUUGGGCGUAAAGCGAGCGCAGGCGGUUUAAUAAGUCUGAAGUUAAAGGCAGUGGCUUAACCAUUGUUCGCUUUGGAAACUGUUAAACUUGAGUGCAGAAGGGGAGAGUGGAAUUCCAUAUGUAGCGGUGAAAUGCGUAGAUAUAUGGAGGAACACCGGUGGCGAAAGCGGCUCUCUGGUCUGUAACUGACGCUGAGGCUCGAAAGCGUGGGGAGCAAACAGG
rnacentral:rRNA from 1 species